AGAACACAGCUGAAGGGGGACUCCGAGCACCUCGUGCAAGCUUGUCCGCCACUAGAUUAGUUGCUCUUGGUAUAUGUUGAAUCUUGAAGGAAGGAAAGAAACUCUUACCAGAAUUUAUUCUCUUAAAAUCUUUAAUCCCAAGUUUUUAAACUUAAACUUUUAACCUUACAUAUACUUCAAACCAUAUAUUCAUACUUAACCUUAUAUCUUAAGACAUUAAUUCAUAUUACAUACUUCAAACUAUUUUUAAAUAUUUUCUAAAUUUUAAACUUAAACCUCAAACUCCAAAUCAUAUAUCAUAAAUUUCAUUUCUAAAUCUAUUUUUCAUUUCUAGAACUAUAUAACAUGUACUCUAAGUGAAGUAAACUUAUAAUUUUAAUAACUUUUUUUUUAUCAACAAUAAAACUUAUAAUAAACAUAAAAACUAAAGAAAAAUUAGAAAGUAAAAUUCUAUCCCUGUACGAAAAUGAGAUUAGAAACAAAAAUUAUAAAACAACUAACAUUAAAGAAUAAAAUGUAUUCUGUCUGUUGAGAAAAAAGUAUAACAACUAAAAAAAUUCCUAUUGGCUGAUUCACAAACACAAGGAUCAAGCUUUUCACCGUCGGAUGAGAUUGGAUCCAAGGGACCAAAGUUAUUCCUUUUCUUCAGAUCUCCAUACAUAGCUUUCUUCACUGCUGGCCUCCGCAUCUCCUCUCUUCUCUUUCGUCAGAAGAUCUCUCCACCCUCGCAAGAUCUCUGCCUUCAUCGCUCUCCAUCUUCUCUACCACCUCCGUUAAUGGUCGUUUAUUAUAAAUUUUACUUCCAUCAUCUCUCUUCUGCGUGACUUUGACUUUGGUGCAGGUUGAAGAAUUGAAUGAGUGGUAUCUCUGUCUUCCAUCAUUUGAUGUCACGCUCACCGUUCACCACCACUCCACGGAGGGUGGAGGAUGCAGAAAAAGCUUGAUGGUGGAGGAUGCAGAAGAAGCUUGAUGGUGGAGGAGACAAGACCAGCCGUGGUCGCAGUGGCUGUUGUGCGGCGGAGGCAAGGCCACACAUGGCGGCUGGAGGAGGCAAGGCGAGGCAGGCAUGGCCGCUUAUUUUUUUAGGGUUGAAUUUUUUUUAAUGAUUUGGUUUAGUUAUCUAAACCUAAUUUUAUUUUAAACCAAUUUCAUUUUGUAAACCGAGUUAUUUUUAUUUCGAUUUAUAGAGUAACCAAUUGAAACUGA